GGAAGUAGAAUGGAGCGUGUGUGCGUAAACAUUGACAUCGGUUUUGAUUUGAAGGGGAUGGUAGCGUCUAACAAUUGGAUUUAAUUAUUUCCUGACCACUGCUCGGUGAUGCAAACAACUCAUUUAUUUUCAGAACCGUCCACUGACCACGGAUGUACCCUCCGAAGUGGUAAAAGUGUAGCAAAACAGGCACAGACACAGGUCGGUAAACAAGUCACAAGAGAAACCACACAUUCACUCUUCCACAGCCAUAGUUAUGGAUCAGUGGUACAGCCAGGAGCCUUUCAUAGUGAUCAACCCAUAGCCCUGAACAUACUCUGCCUGUUGUAUACUGUUAUUCCUCCAAGUAAUCUACAAGUCAACCGUUUGUCAUCAUUGCAUUCUGACAGACGCCCGGAGACGAGCACGCCCAAACCAAACGAGCAACCUAAGAAUAAUACAGUCCUUUAGCCCUUACAGUAUCUAGGGGUUCUGCCAUGCUCUGAGACACCUACCAUAUCCCUUCCCCAGACCUGGAUCCACCUGAUGUCCUCUCUGGGUUCUGCCAUGCUCUGAGAUGCCUACCAUAUCCCUUCCCCAGACCUGGAUCCACCUGAUGUCCUCUCUGGGUUCUGCCAUGCUCUGAGAUGCCUACCAUAUCCCUUCCCCAGACCUGGAUCCACCUGAUGUCCUCUCGGGGUUCUGCCAUGCUCUGAGAUGCCUACCAUAUCCCUUCCCCAGACCUGGAUCCACCUGAUGUCCUCUCGGGGUUCUGCCAUUCUCUGAGAUGCCUACCAUAUCCCUUCCCCAGACCUGGAUCCACCUGAUGUCCUCUCGGGGUUCUGCCAUUCUCUGAGAUGCCUACCAUAUCCCUUCCCCAGACCUGGAUCCACCUGAUGUCCUCUCGGGGUUCUGCCAUUCUCUGAGACACCUACCAUAUCCCUUCCCCAGACCUGGAUCCACCUGAUGUCCUCUCUGGGUUCUGCCAUGCUCUGAGAUGCCUACCAUAUCCCUUCCCCAGACCUGGAUCCACCUGAUGUCCUCUAGGGGUUCUGCCAUGCUCUGAGACACCUACCAUAUCCCUUCCCCAGACCUGGAUCCACCUGAUGUCCUCCAUGAUCAACCACCCUCCAAGAUCCCACUUUUCAUUACAUUAUCUACAGCUACUGUUAAUGUCAUGUGGUUUGAUCUAAUCUGCUAAGGACCUGUGCUUGACAUAUCAUCCUGGGCACAGUGAGAUACACAGAUGGACUACAUACACUAGCACUGGAAACACUCUAAGAGCAAAGAGAACAGCUGUGCCUGGACUUUACAGUCUCCCUCUUCAAGUCCAAAUUCCGAGACUGGCUGCCUGUCGAGAGAAAGUGACUGGCAGAGCUACCUGUAGAACCACCUCUUCUCUAUCGCACACGCCAGAACUGAGAUUGAAAUAAAUCACCCAUACCCUUCUGCCAAGACUGCCCCCCUCUCAUAUGAUGUACUUUCAUUGUCAUUCAUACUUCUGUUUUCUCAACUAAAUUGCAUUGUAUUGUUGAUGUGUUGAUGUUAGCCUAUACUCAUGUAUUUCAGUCUAUAACUGCCAUGUGGGUAUAUUAAAUAAAGUCAUCAAGUUCAACAACAUGA